rnacentral:rRNA from 1 species
AUUGAACGCUGGCGGCAGGCCUAACACAUGCAAGUCGAACGGUAACAGGAAGCAGCUUGCUGCUUCGCUGACGAGUGGCGGACGGGUGAGUAAUGUCUGGGAAACUGCCUGAUGGAGGGGGAUAACUACUGGAAACGGUAGCUAAUACCGCAUAACGUCGCAAGACCAAAGAGGGGGACCUUCGGGCCUCUUGCCAUCGGAUGUGCCCAGAUGGGGUUAGCUAGUAGGUGGGGUAACGGCUCACCUAGGCGACGAUCCCUAGCUGGCCUGAGGAGGAUGACAAGCCCAACGGGAAUUGAGACACGGUCCAGCCUCCUACGGGAGGCAGCAGUGGGGAAUAUUCCACAAUGGGAGAAAGCCUGAUGCAGCCAUGCCGCGUGUAUGAAGAAGGCCUUCGGGUUGUAAAGUACUUUCAGCGGGGAGGAAGGCGAUAAGUUUAAUAACCUUGUCGAUUGACGUUCCCCGCAGAAGAAGCACCGGCUAACUCCGUGCCAGCCGCCGCGGUAA